rnacentral:rRNA from 1 species
CUAAGGCGAGGCCGAAAGGCGUAGUCGAUGGGAAACAGGUUAAUAUUCCUGUACUCGGUGUUACUGCGAAGGGGGGACGGAGAAGGCUAGGCUAUCCGGGCGACGGUUGUCCCGGUUUAAGCGUGUAGGGGGAAAGCGUUGGUAAAUCCGCGCUUUUAUUAACCCUGAGGCGUGAUGACGAGUCACUACGGUGAUGAAGUAGUUGAUGCCAAGCUUCCAGGAAAAGCCUCUAAGCUCUAGGUAACAUUGAAUCGUACCCCAAACCGACACAGGUGGUCAGGUAGAGAAUACCAAGGCGCUUGAGAGAACUCGGGUGAAGGAACUAGGCAAAAUGGUGCCGUAACUUCGGGAGAAGGCACGCUGGCGCGUAGGUGAAGUCCCUUGCGGAUGGAGCUGAAGCCAGUCGAAGAUACCAGCUGGCUGCAACUGUUUAAUAAAAACACAGCACUGUGCAAACACGAAAGUGGACGUAUACGGUGUGACGCCUGCCCGGUGCUGGAAGGUUAAUUGAUGGGGUCAGCCGCAAGGCGAAGCUCUUGAUCGAAGCCCCAGUAAACGGCGGCCGUAACUAUAACGGUCCUAAGGUAGCGAAAUUCCUUGUCGGGUAAGUUCCGACCUGCACGAAUGGCGUAAUGAUGGCCAGGCUGUCUCCACCCGAGACUCAGUGAAAUUGAACUCGCUGUGAAGAUGCAGUGUACCCGCGGCAAGACGGAAAGACCCCGUGAACCUUUACUAUAGCUUGACACUGAACAUUGAGCCUUGAUGUGUAGGAUAGGUGGGAGGCUUUGAAGCGUGGACGCCAGUCUGCGUGGAGCCAACCUUGAAAUACCACCCUUUAAUGUUUGAUGUUCUAACUCCGGUCCCUAAUCGGGAUUGAGGACAGUGUCUGGUGGGUAGUUUGACUGGGGCGGUCUCCUCCUAAAGAGUAACGGAGGAGCACGAAGGUUAGCUAAUCACGGUCGGACAUCGUGAGGUUAGUGCAAUGGCAUAAGCUAGCUUGACUGCGAGAGUGACGGCUCGAGCAGGUACGAAAGUAGGUCAUAGUGAUCCGGUGGUUCUGAAUGGAAGGGCCAUCGCUCAACGGAUAAAA